AUUGAACGCUGUCGGCAUGCCUUACACAUGUAAGUCUAACGUUAACUGGCCUUCGGGUGCCGUCGCUUGGAGCACGGGUGAGUACUACCUCGGAACGUGCCCGACCGUGGGGGAAAACGAGGCGCAACCUUUGCUAAUACCGCUUACGUUCUCCGGCUUCCAGCAGGUGACCCCAAGGCCUUUCGCCGACGCACCGGCCGCUUGCAGAUUAGGUAGUUGGUGGGUUUAAAGCUUACCAAGCCGACGAUCUGUAGCUGGUCUGAGAGGAUGAUCAGCCACACUGGGACUGAGAAACGGCCCAGACUCCUACGGGAGGCAGCAGUGGGGAAUUGUGGACAAUGGGCGCAAGCCUGAUCCAGCCAUGCCGCGUGCAGGAUGAAGGCCUUCGGGUUGUAAACUGCUUUUGUACGGAACGAAAAGCCUUCUUUUAAUACAGGAGGGUCAUGACGGUACCGUAAGAAUAAGCACCGGAUAACUACGUG
rnacentral:rRNA from 1 species